rnacentral:rRNA from 1 species
AACGAACGCUGGCGGCAGGCUUAACACAUGCAAGUCGAACGAACAUAGCAAUAUGUUAGUGGCAGACGGGUGAGUAACGCGUGGGAAUGUGCCCUAUGGUUUGGAAUAACUCAGGGAAACUUGAGCUAAUACCGGAUAAUCCCGAGAGGGGAAAGAUUUAUCGCCAUUGGAGCAGCCCGCGUCUGAUUAGCUAGUUGGUGAGGUAAUGGCUCACCAAGGCGACGAUCAGUAGCUGGUCUGAGAGGAUGAUCAGCCACACUGGGACUGAGACACGGCCCAGACUCCUACGGGAGGCAGCAGUGGGGAAUAUUGGACAAUGGGGGCAACCCUGAUCCAGCCAUGCCGCGUGAGUGAUGAAGGCCUUAGGGUUGUAAAACUCUUUUAUCCGGGAAGAUAAUGACUGUACCGGAAGAAUAAGCCCCGGCUAACUUCGUGCCAGCAGCCGCGGUAACAC